AUUAAUGCGCUGACCAAAAAUGACUCGUCAUCCAUGUUAGCUAAGGAGCUAUAUUGUUUAGCAGAAUCGUGACAUCAAGUCAUAUAGCGUUAGUUAUUUUUCUGAACAUAUUUUUAUUGUAUUUGCGUUCUUAAUCACAACACCAAACCAUAUUUGCUUCCAUUACACUUUCAACCUAGGCUAACGUUUGGUUGAUUAUCUAGCUACUAUUCUAAUUUUGUUUGCUUCGUGGCUGCUCUGUUUUUAUCUGUUUUUUUUAUUUUAAUGAGAUUUUUGUUUUCAAAAAUGAUCCUACCGCUUGUCCUCUAUGGAUUCGGGAUCCAACGUUGGAGUUACCGCAAUUCUUGAAGUCUGUAGGUUUCAGUGGAAAGAGCAGCACUGACCUGAGUUCAGCAGAAACACUGUGGAGGAACCGCAGAUGGAGAAGCUACAUGUUGGUCUCUGCUGAAAUAGCCAGAGGAGUUGGCACUCGUAUACCCAACCGUUUGCCAGCUGUUCCCUCACCAAAGACAACUCUGGGUAGUCAAGCCGGGGAACCAGGAAAACAGGAGUAGGACCCAAAUGCAGACGCAUAAGCAGAGUGGGUGCAGUUUAGUGACAUUUAUUAAACCAAAAGGUACAAAGCUUACGGGAUGGUGAGGCAAGCAAAAGUCAAAUCCAAAGAAGCAAUACAAACAGGAAAACAAAUCCAAAGGAAGGCAGAAAAGUCCAAUCCACAGGGAAGGUCCAGGAAAAACAAGAACACCAGAACAAGGCUGGGAUGCUUGACAUGCGGUACUAAGUACAAAUGACAAACUGACACUGAAAAAAAGGAAAAACUCGGACUAAAUACACUUAGGUGGGGGAGACAAUGAGACACAGAUGCAACUAAUUAGGGCGGAGCAAACAAUCAAAACUGGAGGGAAAAGCAAAUAGACAGGAAGUAAAACAGCAGGACACACACUUCAAAAUAAAACAGGAAAUAACAGGACAAAAACCCCAAACAAUGACAAUAAACGCUUGAAAUAAGUAGUCCAAUAGAUGUUCUUUGAAUGUUAUGCACUUUUGUCUGGUUAUGUUUGUUGUAUGUAUAUGUCCUUUUGUUAUGUCUGGCUAUGUGUGUUUUUCUUUCUCUCUGUUGUACUCAGGUCUCUCUUACAAAAGAGAUCUUGAUCU